UUGGUGACCAGCGGAGGGAUCAUUACCGAGUUUACAACUCCCAAACCCAAUGUGAACGUUACCAAACUGUUGCCUCGGCGGGAUCUCUGCCCCGGGUGCGUCGCAGCCCCGGACCAAGGCGCCCGCCGGAGGACCAACCAAAACUCUUAUUGUAUACCCCCUCGCGGGUUUUUUACUAUCUGAGCCAUCUCGGCGCCCCUCGUGGGCGUUUCGAAAAUGAAUCAAAACUUUCAACAACGGAUCUCUUGGUUCUGGCAUCGAUGAAGAACGCAGCGAAAUGCGAUAAGUAAUGUGAAUUGCAGAAUUCAGUGAAUCAUCGAAUCUUUGAACGCACAUUGCGCCCGCCAGUAUUCUGGCGGGCAUGCCUGUCCGAGCGUCAUUUCAACCCUCGAACCCCUCCGGGGGGUCGGCGUUGGGGAUCGGCCCUUUACGGGGCCGGCCCCGAAAUACAGUGGCGGUCUCGCCGCAGCCUCUCCUGCGCAGUAGUUUGCACACUCGCAUCGGGAGCGCGGCGCGUCCACAGCCGUUAAACACCCCAAACUUCUGAAAUGUUGACCUCGGAUCAGGUAGGAAUACCCGCUGAACUUAAGCAUAUCAAUA
rnacentral:rRNA from 1 species